GCAUCAGAUAAUGAAGAGUUCAUAAAAAACAACCCCAAGUAAACCCCUUUUAUUCAGUUCCAAUAUGUGCUUGGAAAUAAAUGGCAGCAUGGGAAGUCUUGCUGCUGUUUUUAGCAGAGGCUUUUGCAGCACGUUGCUGCUGAUGGAUUUGUGCAGUCAUCACCGUUAAAGCUUGAGGCUGUCAGCAGCAGCAGAUCUGCAGGAUCUGCAAGUUCUGGCUCCAACUAAAAAUAGAAUAGAUUGAGACAUUCCGCUAUCGUGAAGGU